AGUGUCUUUAAAAAAAAAAGAUAUUUUUUCCUGGUCCACAUGUCCCAGAGUCCCCAGCCCCUGCUCUAUAGACACUGUCUCAUCCUAGUUCAAGGGGAGCACAGCUCUGAAAUCUGUGCCGUGGGUCUCACGCCAAAAUUCUGACUUAAAAUCCACAACUUGAUACCAACCUUUCAUUUCAGUUUGAGGGGGAAUGCUUCCAGGAAAGGCUAUCAGAGGCUUCAUAGUGAGGGCACCCUCCCCCUAACCUAAACGCUCUCUCUUCUCCUAGCACCUCUGCUCGGAUGUGCCAAGUGUCCAAGAUGAGUUAUGAUUUCUUGAACUGAAAGAAUGUGCUAAUUGUUUUACAGAGUACGUCGCACUUGGCUGGAAGUACCUCCCCCAGGUCUCCUAAACCCAAAUGAAGCCAUGUGAGUGGCAGAAAACUGUAAUUGGAUAGCUACCUCCCCUUGAUAAUGACAUUUGGUUGUGUCUCCCAGCCAUGUGACAAGGGUACCUAAUGACUCUCUAAUGCUUGAGAAGACCAUCACUGGUCACCCCUGGGCUUAAGGCAGCUGUGAACUCUGCUCCCCCAGAGCUCCGCGUCCAAACACAGCGUUGUGUCUGCAUUAUCCCACUUCUGGGCGCCCACAGUGUCUCUCACUUACGUCUUUAACUCCCUUUAUGGCCUCGGUAAAUCAUCCCACGCACCACAGAGCAGGGGGACUUCUGAUUUAUGAGACCUACCUGCCUGGUUCUCUCAGCGGAAGAUUCCCUUGGUUCAUGCUUUCCCUCUUCAGAUUCUUUUUCUUUUUGGAUUUUUAAAGUAUUUAAAUAAAAAUGUAUCUGGAGUAUUGUGA